rnacentral:rRNA from 1 species
UGGGGAAUUUUGGACAAUGGGGGAAACCCUGAUCCAGCCAUGCCGCGUGCGGGAAGAAGGCCUUCGGGUUGUAAACCGCUUUUGGUCGGAAAGAAAAGGCGCACCCUAAUACGGGGCGUUCUUGACGGUACCGGCAGAAUAAGCACCGGCUAACUACGUGCCAGCAGCCGCGGUAAUACGUAGGGUGCGAGCGUUAAUCGGAAUUACUGGGCGUAAAGCGUGCGCAGGCGGUUCUCCAAGUCCGUUGUGAAAGCCCCGGGCUCAACCUGGGAAUGGCAGUGGAAACUAGGGGACUUGAAUCUGGCAGAGGGGGGUGGAAUUCCACGUGUAGCAGUGAAAUGCGUAGAGAUGUGGAGGAACACCGAUGGCGAAGGCAGCCCCCUGGGCUGAGAUUGACGCUCAGGCACGAAAGCGUGGGGAGCAAACAGGAUUAGAUACCCCGGUAGUCC